UAUAGUUGUAAAUACAAUACUAUAUGGACUAUAAAUAACCUUCAACACAUUCCCACUACUCAUCACUAAUACUACUUUCUUUCACAAGUCUAUAUACUUUUAUUAGGUGUUGUUGUGUGUUGCUAGUUGCAAUGGGUUACAUGAAGGCUGAUGUGAAUAUUGUGGUUGUUGGUCAUGUUGAUUCUGAUGAGAAGCCAACCAGCAACGAGGAAACCAACAAAGUUGCUGUUGUUGAUGUGGAGAACAAACCUGAUAAGAUGAAUAUAUGAUAUGAUGAGGUCAUAAGGAGAACCAAAAAAGUUAAUAAUAAUAAAAAUAAUAAUGUUGUAAAAAUAAUUUGGUUCCUCCCCUCUAUUAUGUUAUGUUAAUUGAGAUGAGAGUCAUUUUGAAUAAGAGUACCUUUCUUAUUUGUAUUACUUUCACUCAAAGUUAAAUAAAUCCAUCACUCUUAAUUUAAGAUACAA